rnacentral:rRNA from 1 species
UACGUAGGGGGCGAGCGUUAUCCGGAUUCACUGGGUGUAAAGGGAGCGUAGACGGCCAAGCAAGCCAGGGGUGAAAGCCCGGGGCCCAACCCCGGGACUGCCCUUGGAACUGCAUGGCUGGAGUGCGGGAGGGGCAGGCGGAAUUCCUGGUGUAGCGGUGAAAUGCGUAGAUAUCAGGAGGAACACCGGCGACGAAGGCGGCCUGCUGGACCGCGACUGACGUUGAGGCUCGAAAGCGUGGGGAGCGAACAGG